rnacentral:rRNA from 1 species
UACGUAGGGGGCAAGCGUUGUCCGGAAUCAUUGGGCGUAAAGCGCGUGUAGGCGGCCCGAUAAGUCCGCUGUGAAAGUCCAGGGCUCAACCCUGGAAUGCCGGUGGAUACUGUCGGGCUCGAGUCCGGAAGAGGCGAGUGGAAUUCCUGGUGUAGCGGUGAAAUGCGCAGAUAUCAGGAGGAACACCGAUGGCGAAGGCGGGCAUCUGGGCCAACACUGACGCUGAGGCGCGAAAGCUAGGGGAGCAAACAGG